UAGCUUAGUGACAAUAAGUCGGUGGUC
rnacentral:sRNA from 1 species